GGGAUAUAGCUCAGUGGCACAGUGCUUGCUUGGCAAGCACGAGGUCCUGAGUUCAAUUCCUAGUACCCA
rnacentral:tRNA from 1 species